GACGAACGCUGGCGGCGUGCUUAACACAUGCCAGUCGAACGGAAAGGCCCUGCUUUUGUGGGGUGCUCGAGUGGCGAACGGGUGAGUAACACGUGAGUAACCUGCCCUUGACUUUGGGAUAACUUCAGGAAACUGGGGCUAAUACCGGAUAGGAGCUCCUGCUGCAUGGUGGGGGUUGGAAAGUUUCGGCGGGUGGGGAUGGACUCGCGGCUUAUCAGCUUGUUGGUGGGGUAGUGGCUUACCAAGGCUUUGACGGGUAGCCGGCCUGGGAGGGUGACCGGCCACAUUGGGACUGAGAUACGGCCCAGACUCCUACGGGAGGCAGCAGUGGGGAAUAUUGCACAAUGGGCGGAAGCCUGAGGCAGCAACGCCCCGUGCGGGAUGACGGCCUUCGGGUUGUAAACCGCUUUCGCCUGUAACGAAGCGUGAGUGACGGUAAUGGGUAAAGAAGCACCGGCUAACUACGUG
rnacentral:rRNA from 1 species